GACGAACGCUGGCGGCGUGCUUAACACAUGCAAGUCGAACGGAAAGGCCCUGCUUUUGUGGGGUGCUCGAGUGGCGCACGGGUGAGUAACACGUGAGUAACAUGCCCUUGACUUUGGGAUAACUUCAGGAAACUGGGGCUCAUACCGGAUAGGAGCUCCUGCUGCAUGGUGGGGGUUGGAAAGUUUCGGCGGUUGGGGAUGGACUCGCGGCUUAUCAGCUUGUUGGUGGGGUAGUGGCUGACCAAGGCUUUGACGGGUAGCCGGCCUGAGAGGGUGACCGGCGACAUUGGGACUGCGAUACGGCCCAGACUCCUACGGGAGGCAGCAGUGGGGAAUAUUGCACAAUGGGCGCAAGCCUGAUGCAGCAGCGCCGCGUGCGGGAUGACGGCCUUCGGGUUGUAAACCGCUUUCGCCUGUGACGAAGCGUGAGUGACGGUAAUGGGUAAAGAAGCACCGGCUAACUACGUG
rnacentral:rRNA from 1 species